CAGAUGCUGAUUUAGUGCAAGAUAAAUCUGAUAUUGACCUUCUGAACAAACAGCACACCACUGAUGCAAUUGAGUCAAAUGAGCCUCCUCCAAAUGAUAUGUAUUAUGAGAUGGACCGCGUACCAGAUGAUUCUGAUCAAGAGGAUUUAUAUGAUGAUCCUGAUGAUUUCUGAUUUACUGUACUGUGAUAGAAAUAUUUAUUUUUGACAAUGAAUGACCUUUUCCAUGGUUACCGUCCUUGUACAGCAAUAAUGAAAUUUGUAUGGCUUCAUGUUUCUCAUAAUAACUGACAUUUGCCAUGUGCCAUUUCUAAUUCUUUAUAUGCAGGGCACGUGACAGAGAUAUCAGGGAGGCAAUCCGAGCUUCUCACAAGAGGCGAGGUGUUGCAGAGCAGGUACCUAGUGAUGAAGAUGGAAAUGACUCCACGCAGAUAGGCUCCAAUGCCCAGAACACUGCUGGACACAAUAGGACACCCCGUGGUUCAAACACGAUCCCGCCAGCACCAACGACACAUGCUGCCAAGAUUGUUCUCAUACCUUCUGGUGAUAGAAAUUGGCGUAUGCAAAAUUUCAACAAGAAAGAUCGUGUUCCAAACACUAUAAUAGGUGCCUUGCUGAAGCAUCACUACCCACAGAUUGUGUAUGACACCACUGAAAGACCACCUAAGUAUGUUGCUGCCACAAAAUGGCGGCACUGGUGUAUGAAAGGACCACAAGAUAACACCUGUGCUGAUAGGGUUAGGUCUGAUUUCCUGGCACGAUACAGAUGGCCGGAUGACGCUAGUCCUGAACAGAAGGAAAAAUUCAUGAAGACCCUCGAUGCUUGUUGUGCAAAGUUGACUACCCAAGAAAUAUAUGAUUUGAGGAUUUAUGCA